rnacentral:rRNA from 1 species
GACGAACGCUGGCGGCGUGCUUAACACAUGCAAGUCGAACGGAAAGGCCCUGCUUUUGUGGGGUGCUCGAGUGGCGAACGGGUGAGUAACACGUGAGUAACCUGCCCUUGACUUUGGUAUAACUUCAGGAAACUGGGGCUAAUACCGUAUAGGAGCUCCUGCUGCAUGGUGGGGGUUGGAAAGUUUCGGCGGUUGGGGUUGGACUCGCGGCUUAUCAGCUUGUUGGUGGGGUAGUGGCUGACCAAGGCUUUGAAGGGUAGCCGGCAUGAGAGGGUGACCGGCGACAAGGGGACUGAGGUACGGCCCAGACUCCUACGGGAGGCAGCAGUGGGGAAUAUUGCACAAUGGGCGGAAGCCGGAUGAAGCAACGCCGCGUGCGGGAUGACGGCCUUCGGGUUGUAAACCGCUUUCGCCUGUGACGAAGCGGGAGUGACGGUAAUGGGUAAAGAAGCACCGGCUAACUACGUG